CAGAAAAUAGUUUAAAUUAAGAUGUUAGUUUUGGGAAUUAACGAUGGAAGAAUUCUUUCUUUUCUGA
rnacentral:tRNA from 1 species